rnacentral:lncRNA from 1 species
CAUUCAAGACUUUAAGUAACAAGGAGGGACACUUUAGUCUACCAACCAAGUCACAACAUUUUCAUUUAAGGAUACUUCAUAAUCCAACAUCAUUUCACAUAUACAUCAUGAGAAAUCAUACUUUAACUCACAAUGCUAUCCACUUUACAUAGGAUCAUCACAAGAUCACAUAAAACUCAUUCACACCAUUCCUUCACAUAUAGCUUCACAUAAAACUCAUUCACAUC